AACCGCGGUUAUACGAAUGGCCUAAGUUGAUAAGAUACGGCGUAAAGCGUGGUUAGGGAUAAUUAGACUAAAGCUAAAGCUCCUCCUGGUAGUUUUAAACCUAUGAGACCUGAGAGAACCAACUACGAAAGUGGCUUUAUUCCCCUGAACCCACGAAAGCUAGGGAA
rnacentral:rRNA from 1 species